CUACCACACACUCACCUACUACACUCACCUACCACCACCAUCCACUACACCUACAUCUAUAUAAGGAACCAUUUGUAAUAGACAGAAUAUCAACAAUACAUCAAUCAAUAAUACAUCAGUUUGUUUACAAAUACUUGUGUUUCUCUCCUCUUUUGUGGCAUUAUUAAAAUAUGCUUGAUGAUGUACUUAUAUUUCUAAAUGCACUAACUAGUCAAUGACCUGUAUGAAGCUUGGAUAUAACACAACAAAACUAACUAAAAAGCUUUUGUGAGGGUGAAUAAUCAGAUUGUUACUAAUUCCUUGCAUUUGAUAUUACCAUUCCUUUUUGUCUUCUGACAUUGUAUAGUUUCAAUAGAUAUUAAUUUGUUUCUUUGAUAUCCAUAUUCUUUCCUUUAGGGUGGGUACCUGUUGAUAUUGGGCCAAAGUCUUUGGACGAAAUUUCUUCCUUGCUUUCAGAAUGCAAGAAAAUUUUAUGGAUUGGUCCAGUGAAAUUUGGUUUGUCAAGUCAGGACACCAGUGGAGCAUCUAAAUUGGCCACAAUGCUUGAUAAACUAAAUCGAAGAAAUUGUGAUAUAACUGUUGUUGGGAAUAUGGCUUGUGAAGCUCUUACAAGUGUGUCUACUUCUUUCUCAAGUCAUAAUAUGGUUGACAAUGCUUCAGUCUUGUGGGAGAUUCUCAAAGGAAGAAAGCUUCCAGGGCUCAUGGCCUUAGAUAGAUAAUCGAUUGUGCAGGCAUAUCCGUUUGUGAUUGAUUGGAAUGCUACUUAUACUGAUCCAGCUCAUCCUUUGGUCGUGGACAUUGGAAGUGG